GGCGGAUUCUUGACACACGACUCUUUCCCAUAAUCCUUCUUCCGGGGUUCCAGGAACAGGAAUCAAGAAUGGGAUUCCGGAAAACUGCUUUUUUUUUUUUCAACAGUUUUUCUGGGAUAAAGAGAUGCAGAGAAUUAAUAUAUAAGGCUGAAUCUCGCAGAGAAGUCACCUCUCCGAGUUAUUUUUCAUGCCCAUGACAGACAUUAUGGCUUCUAUCUCUACCUACCAAAAAUGGAAUCCAGUGUCUGAAGCACAAAAUAAAAAAGUAGAGCUUCAUUUUGUCUGCCUUGUACGAGGAUCAAUGAUGGAGGCUCCAGUGUCAGGAUGGACAGAUGCAACAUUUAUAGAGAGGUGCAAUGGUGCAAAGAGCAUCCUGUCAGUGCAAGAGCAGUGAUGAUCAGGACAGAGUCCAUUAUCUUCCCCUAAAACCACUCAAAUAGGGAAGUCACAUUGCUCAGGCCAUUCCUGUCUAUAGGAAGAUAACCUUUAAUUAGGUUGUCAUACCAUGUUGGGUUUACACACACAAUCAUUCAAGGCCCCUUUAAUUAUCUUUUCCCUAUCACUACACUAUGAGCUUCUUAAGGGCAUGAACCAUCUCUUAUCUCCCUUAUUACCUUGUACAGUAUCUUUGGAAGUGAUAGUCAUUGAUUAAGUAUUUGUUGAAUGAAUGAAAAAAAUUCAGUUUGUCUGAAUUCAAUGAAAUAAUAAACCCCAAGCCGAAAGAGUUUAA